UACGAAGGGGGCUAGCGUUGUUCGGAAUUACUGGGCGUAAAGCGUGCGCAGACGGUUGCGUAAGUCAGAUGUGAAAGCCCCGGGCUCAACCUGGGAAUUGCAUUUGAGACUGCGUAGCUAGGGUGCGGAAGAGGGAAGCGGAAUUUCCGGUGUAGCGGUGAAAUGCGUAGAUAUCGGAAGGAACACCAGUGGCGAAAGCGGCUUCCUGGUCCAGCACCGGACGUCAGGCACGAAAGCGUGGGGAGCAAACAG
rnacentral:rRNA from 1 species